GCUGCCCUGCUAGCUCAAUCGGUAGAGCGUAAGACUCUUAUACGAGAGAUAGCAAUCUUAAGGCUGUGGGUUCGACCGUAAGAUAUUUCCUUCUAUCACACGCAUACACA